rnacentral:lncRNA from 1 species
GCAUAAUGAGAAGUAACUUCAUAGCUUCAUGCUCGCUUUUGAUUUUCAAAACUGAACUCACCAUUCAUUUGCAAGCGACGAAAUCUUGACACAAAAAUGAUAAUUCGACCCUAAAAUAACAGUUAAACCAUGAAAGCACAGAAAAGGACCACUCAAAAUCAACUUCUACUAGCUGAGAAUACUCAAAUACAUCACACCAUCGCGAACAGAUUUAAUCAGCAAGAAGUUCGAUCAAAACACAAACAAACCACCCUAGAUUUAAUCUCAUAGCUCAAAAUACAACGAAACAAAACAAAAUCAAGUUGUAACAAUCCAUAAACCACCCUAGAUUGAAUCUCAUAGCUCAAAAUACAAUGAAACAAAAUAGAAUCGCAAGAACAGAGAGAUGAAGACUGAAACUGAAAUUUCGAACUUCUUUUGAUAACAAAAUCGAAGGCGAUUACACAGUUUUGACUCAAACUUUCAGCAAUAAAAUAACAGCAGGUCAAGGCUCGGAGCACAACCAAACCAGUAGCAAAGACGAGCAACAAUCAGAAGUUUAGACAGCGACGAACUCAGCAGCUUUCAAUCGAACUCCAUUUUGAGAACCAAAAUCAUAACAAAUAUUGAAAUAUUUAGGUAAUUUUCUAAUUUCUUCUGAAACGAAACUCGAAUAAAAAUCGAACCCAAACUAUUUUUUUGUAUUUUUCAUUUUCUGAAAAUGCAGUAACAGAUUGAAGAGAAGGAAAGCAAAGAACCCUAGAACCCUUUUUACCUCUCCCAAAUUUUCAGCCCCCCUCACGAAAUUUGAUAAAUCUAUUUUGAAGACCAAUCCUUGAUGAAUGUGGGGCUCAGAUUGAGUGAAAUCAAUCCAACGCCUCACACUCAUCCAGCAUUCGUCUUCCAGACCCUUCCAAUCACGUGUUUAAACUCGAAUUACAGAAAUCUCAAUCCAACGCCUCACACUCAUCCAGCAUUCCUUUUUAAGACCCUUCCAAUCACGUGUUUAAACUCGAAUUCGAGCGAGUGGGAGGAGGAGGAAUCUUGUUAUCAGAAACCGUUAGCAACAGCAAAAGAAUGCGGGUUAGGGCUUGAUUCUCACUCGCGUGAAUUUUGGCGAUUUUUGGGACGAAAUUUGGGGCUGGGCUCGCGUGCUCUUCAGAGAAGAAGAACAGUACGCGUUUGAUUAGGGAUUUGGCUCAUCCGUUAUUUUUGUGUUUAAUCGUGGGGUGGGUCGGGUCACUAAGCAUGUUGGGCGGGUGGAUUAGGGGUUUUUGGGCCUGGAGUUGGGAGAAUC